AGCGAACGCUGGCGGCAUGCCUAACACAUGCAAGUCGAACGAACCCUUCGGGUCUAGUGGCGGACGGGUGCGUAACACGUGGGAACGUGCCCUUAGGUUCGGAAUAACUCAGGGAAACUGGUGCUAAUACCGAAUGUGCUCUUCGGGCGAAAGAUUUAUCGCCUUUAGAGCGGCCCGCGUUUGAUUAGCUAGUUGGUUGAGGUAAUGGCUAACCAAGGCGACGAUCAUUAGCUGGUCUGAGAGGAUGAUCAGCCACAUUGGGACUGAGACACGGCCCAAACUCCUACGGGAAGCAGCAGUGGGGAAUCUUGCGCAAUGGGCGAAAGCCUGACGCAGCCAUGCCGCGUGAAUGAUGAAGGUCUUAGGAUUGUAAAGUUCUUUCACCGGGGACGAUAAUGACGGUACCCGGAGAAGAAGCCCCGGCUAACUUCGUG
rnacentral:rRNA from 1 species